rnacentral:lncRNA from 1 species
UUGGAAGAUAUAAAUAGUGAACGUCGUAGUAAUAUUUCCAAGUUUGGUCUUCUUUAAUUGCCUAUACGACACAAGUAACAAACAAUAUCUAUCUAUACAACACAAAUAAGGUACAAUUAUCCCGUAUUUUUUUAAUACAAAUCAUGCGAAAUAUCUUCCCAUCUGAAAUUUAUGUUGUCUAACAACAGUUCCUCUAUGAAGGUCACUAUAUCGAAAGAAGCUUGAUGAUUUUCACUUUGUGCAUUUUUCUCACAUGCACAGUAACGAUUUUUUCCAAGGGUCCUUACCGAAAAUGCAGGGGCAUGGAAGCUCGGCUGCAUGAAUCCGCCACAUACAACCUUCUAAGGCACAUUUUUGCAUAGUGACCCAGGUCACAUUUCACUAUGUGAAGCUUGAAAUAUUGUGCAAAGGAAGCAUCUUUAAUUGUAGUACUGCAGAAGGCCUUGACAUCAAUAAGUCUUGGCAAGCAAAUAAGUUGUCUCCUUGAUCCUCCGUAAGAAAACAACUUAUUAGAGAGCAGUAUUAAGUAGCUAGGAUCCCCAAUCAGCUUAAGGGAGAGGCCGUGAGCAGGAAUUGUUGAAGAGCAUCGACCUAUUCAAGUAAGAAAACUUCAUCAAUGUGAGGCGUGAGCCGACAUGCAGCCUAGCAGAUAGAAAUUGUGAGGACAAAAUCUGGACAAAAGCUGAAUGAUGCUCUCGUGAAAAAUCUCAAGCAUCGAUCGAGGAGAGUCAAAUGCUUCAGUCGGAGGUGCAAAAUCAUGAUUAAAGAAAAUCCUAACUCAUUAACAGAUGCCUUUUUAUCGAUGUAGUCAGUAACACAUGCAGCAGACUGAGAAUCAACUGCAUCAAAAAUAAAAAUGCUCUGGUAUCACAGAUAUUACGGAUAAAUUCUUGUUUUCACUCAUGCAGAUAUCUCUCUAAUGAGCUCAUCUGAUCCUCUGCAUAUUUGUACAUUAUGUGGUCAUGGUCCAGGAGGUUUUUACUUUAUAGGCACAUCCGAGUAAUAUUGUCACAUUUCUCAUGCAGGAAUGAACAAACAUACAUAAGUUAUAUUUAUAUCAAAGCCCUGAACCUUUCUUUUCAAUAGGUAAAUAAUAUUUCAUCAGAAACCCAACAUUGUCUCAAUACGAAAUGAAUAUCAUAGCAGUAGAAAAAUAGAACUAAAGGAUCUUGCUCUAAAAGUUAAUAUGCUUCCUGGCAAGAAAGUCUCACCCAUCACGAAGAAUCUGAGGAGUUUUAUCAUACAUAAUUUUAUGAACUAAUAAAAUCAGGUUACAGGUAAUACAGAGUUUUGAACCUGACUGUCUGAUAUAGUGAGAUAUCGCAGAUUAACUCCAAAUUGUGGGAUAUGUAGAUUGAAAAUCAUCUCCUUCCAUUAUAAUAGCUUAGACGUCUUAUGUGACGGUUCCAUUUCCGUUGAACAGAUCAAAAUCAGAAUGCCUGCUUCUGCAAUAUGUAAUUAGAAGAACUUUAACGAUUCAGAUUAGGUUAAAGAUGAAAGUCCUUGUUGGAUGAACACUUGGCAUCAUGGUUUGAGGCACACAAGAGACACAAACUUUAAGUCCCUGCCAUCUUAGCUCUCAAUAAUUGUCGGAGAAUAAUAUACGAAAGCAUGAACAAUGAUCAGAUAGAUGAACAUCAUCCCCGGACAUAACAUUGUAUCAUACAAAGAAUAAAAGAAAGCAACUACUCUUUAUUUUUAUAUUUACUGCUUAUGAUACCAACCAUAACAUCUGAUUCAAGUUAAAGACUGAAAUUCCUUUUUUAGGAGAUAAAGCACAUAAAUAAGGAGUAUUCCCCAAUACUGUAUAUUUCUGUAAGAAAGAUUAUCAACCGAAUAAGAAUUUGUAUACUUCUCAAGAAGAGAUAUUAAUAAAGUGCUUAUGAUACUCAUAAUAGUUUCAAUACUUUUAAGAAAUCUAGUUAAAUGACGGAAGUAGCAUGAACAUCUUGACAUGUACUUAGUCGCUGAAUUAACAGAACCAUCAAAAGAUCUCAUGUACAAAAUUUAAUAAUGGAAAAAUUCUUAUUAAAAAUAUCCUCCUUAAAUCAAACUAAUAGAAACUACGAUAAGCUCUCACUACCAUCAGAAAAUAGAAGUGCAAAAAGAAAUUAACCCCACUCUGAUCUUAAGUGUUAGCAUGUAAUGCACUUUAGAAUCAAAAGAAAAACAAUAGUUCAAAAGAUAAACAAUAGUAAAUUCUGCAUAAGAUUAAAGUACAUCUUUAUGAGGAUGACAUAGCUUUACUUGACCUCAGUUAGUCAAUAUAAAAAUUAUUUCAGCACUAUACAUGCAUAUGCAUAAGAGGAACCACCAAAUACAGAUCGCUUGCGGCCUAACAUAAACAAUCUUUUUAGACGUCUUAUGCUACAAUCUUAGAGGUCACGAAAGGAUUACCUAUAUCCAUCAUAUGGCUUUCGUUUUUUGUGCUUAACUUUUGAAAAAGCUUUUAACCUUUAGUACUUUAGCAUAAACUCCAUCACCUAUCUGUUAUUUUUUGUUCAAUCAAAAUUAUGCUAAAUUGCAACAUAGUUACUCUUCCUUUCCCGAUCCGAAACAGGAAUGGAGUAACGAACAACUUUGGCUAAUGCUAAGCAAGGAAUAAAUUUUAUCAUGCUCGGGUCAAAUGGUCGGGAAAAGAUGCUAAAUUACCUUUAAAAGUACGUCUUCAUGAGUAAUGUUAGCAUAUGUUUGUCAUGUCCUUAGGAUUUUCAACAAUAGCUUAAGAAACCUGGAAACAAUAACAGACAAUAACAACAACAACCUAUAUUAGACUCAAUCUUUCAGUCACAAACAUAUUAUCACAUGUUUUCUCUAUAACUCCUAUAUCACACAAGUGAAAGACUACAUUAUUUUCCUCAAAAGCAGCAACAGGGGAAGGAGGGGUGGUUUAAGAGCACCUCAACCUAAAGGAAAAGAUCUGGAAUAUUGGGGUAAUUCAAGCGGCACCGACAACCAUUCUAAUGUGCUCUUAUUUUGCCAAGUUGGUACAUAAACAUCCUUAUUUAUGAAAGGACCAACAUGUAUGAGCUAUUAAACAUAAAGCUUUAAAGUGAAAAUAUGAAGAAACUAAUUCCUAUCAACCUAAUACCAACUCAAAUAAGCAAUGUCAAAGCUUUCUUGUAUCUAAACUUUUCAUCUCUGUUGUUGAAAAAUGGGGACACAUUGGGGAAUCUAUUCUAGACCCGCCUGCCGACCCUAAAUCUAUCUUACUUUUCCUUGUUCUUUUCCAUGAAUCAGUGGAUAUUCUUAAAUGUGAGAAUAAAAAGAACCAUAACAAUUGAGGUGAGAUAUCAGGCAAGAUAGAACACCAAUAAUCAAUUUCAAACAGAUAUUAAGCAAUGACAUAGUUCUCCUGUAUCUAAAUCUUAUAUGGAAGACGAAAAAUCAUAUUACAGAGAAAGCAGAAAUUUGAUGUCACGACCCAAAUUCCACUAAGGGUCGUAAUGGCACCGGACACCGCUGUCAGACAAGCCAACCAAAAUACUUAAUUUAAUUAUCGUUUUAAUAAUUUUGAAAACUAUGAUUUUUCUUCCAUUUCACUAGUAAAAGAUAAUCAUUUCAAAUCGAAUAUGAAUGUUAAGAAGUUAAUACAAGAUACCCCAUAAUCAUCCCAGAACCCGGUGUCACAAGUACAUGAGCAAUUUCUAGGAAAUAAAAUAAAAUACAGUAAUUGUCCGGAAUACAAGGUGGACAGAAAUGAAAAAAAAAACAUCGUAAAAUACUCUGAAGGGGACUCUGCUAGCUGCGGGUCGUCUCGAUAAAUGCAGCUCACCUAAGUCUUUGUAUCAACCAUGCCGCUAUGCCACUAAGUCACUAGCCACAUAUAAACCUGUGCAACAAAAAUGCACAGCAAGUGUAGUAUGAGUACGAAAGCAACGUGUACCCAAUGAGUAUCCCGUCCAAUCUCGAAGAAGUAGAGACGAGAGGUCGACUUCGACACUUAUUAGUGGUCCAAUGAUAAUAUAGCAAAAGUGUGAGAAAUUGAUGGAUUUUAUAAAGUAAAAUUAAACUCAUAAAGCGGAAAGCAGGUAACAAUUUCUCAAAUCAUAAAGGAUUUCCCAAGAUUUACUUUUCAUUGUCUUUAUCAAUUUAUCUCUAGCCAGGAAAGGCAAUUAUCAAUAUUUAAAAUUCUCAGACAAGCAAUACAAGCAUGUACAUAUCAUGUCGAGGUCGUACGGCCCGAUCCAACAUAAAUGUAAAAUGUGCACUGCCGAGGGUUGAACGGCGCGAACCAUAGAUGCAUCUAUUACCCCGCUCGCGAAUCAUACAUGUUACGCGGUCAACAUAAAUAAACAAACACCCUACUCGCCAAUUAUACAUGCGAUGCAGGUACACAUAAAAAUACAUGCUGAAAUAGCAAAUUAAGAAUUUAUUGGGGGAACGUUUAUCCAAAUAAAAGCCAAUUCUCUUUUAGCAAUUUACGAAAAUGAAGUUUAAUCCUUUUAAAAAUUCAUUUACCAAUUCGAUAGGAAUUAAGCAAUUCAACUGCCAACAAGAUUACAGAUAUUCCAAGUAUAGCAUGUUUUUGGGUCUUAGACUACCCGAACUUACAAUAAUAGUAGCUACGCACGGAUUCUCGUCACCUCGUGCAUACGUAGCCCUCACAAAUAGGAGCAUAUAGCCAAUUAUAUCACCUAUGGGGAUAAUUCCCUCUUACAAGGUUAGAAAAAAGACUCACCUCACUCCAAAGAUCCAUAACCGGCAUUCCACGCUCUUCCGAAGACUCGAAUCGAUGCGCCAUGCUCCAAAAUUAGCCAAUAAGUAUGCAAACCCAUUAAUUUAUGCUUAAUUACUCAUUAUAAUUCAAUUUAUAACAAUUCCUAACCCCGAUCGAAAAGUUGACAAAAUUGCCCUCGGGCCCACGUGCCCGGAUUCCGAAAUUUUUCGAAGAUAAAGUUUACUCAUGAACUCACGAACUCAAAUAUAAGAUUUUCGCUUAGUUCCAUGCCCAAAAUCGUGGUAAAAAUCCAAAUUAUAAAUUUCUAGGUCUCCUACCAAAAACCCACAAUAUCUACCAAAUUUUCAUGCUCAAAUUUGUAUAUAAUCCAAGUACUAACUCAAAACUAGUAGAAUCCCCUUACGUCAUGCGUGAUGGUGAAAAUAGCACCUCAAAGUUGCUCCAAAAAUAGGCUUCAAUGGAAGAAAUAGGGUUGAAAUGAACCCAACCCCCGAUUUAAAAGAACCCACCGCCUCCAGCAUUUUCGCACCUGCAGUGCACCAGCCGCACCUGCGGAAAUUUCUAUUGUAGGUGUGGUCUCAGUCAACUCGCUCAAGUCCGCUGCUUCUGCGGUCUGGCUUCUGCGGAAGAUUCGUCGCACCUGCGACCCCAGCCAAGCCCAGCCAUUUUCCGCUUCUACGACACAAGGGCCGCUUCUGCGGCUCCGCACCUGCGGCCCAAGUCUCGCAGGUGCGGUUACACCAACAACUUCAGCUCUUCCUCCAAGUUCCAAUUCGAUCCGCUAACCAUCCGGAACCCACCCGAGGCCACCAGGACCCCGUCCAAUCACACUAACCAGUCCCAAAACACAUUACGGACUUGCUCGAGGCCUCAAAUCAUAUCGAACAAUGCUAAAAUCAUGAAUCGACCUCCAAUCCAAGCUUAAUGAACUUAAGAAUUUCAAACUUCUUCAUUCGAUGCCAAAACAUAUCCAAUCACGUUCGAUUGAACUUAAAUUUUGCGCACAAGUCACAUUUGACAUUUCGGACAUACUCCAACUUUCGAAAUCGGAUUCCGACCCCGAUAUCAAAAAGUCCACUUCCGGUCAAACUUCUCAAAAACCUUCAAAUCUCUAUCUUUAGCCAAAUGACUCCAUAAUGACCUAUGGACCUCCGAAUUCACUUCCGAUCACGCUCCCAAUACGAGAAUCACCAUACGGAGCUAUUUCCAGACUCGAAAUCUCAAACGGACAUUGAUAACCCUGAAAUGUACUUCAAUCCAAACUUAUGAGAUUCUUCCAAAAAUGCUAACUUCCACAAUAGGCAUCGAAACAUUCUCGGGUCUACCAAAACCUAGUCCGGACAUAUUCCCAAGUCCAAAAUCAUCAUACGAACCUGCUGGAACCUUCGAAUCCCAAUUCCGAGGUCGUUUACUCAAAAAUCCAACCUUAGUUAAUUUUUUCAACUUAAAGCUUCCGAAAUGAGAAUCCUGAAGUGAAGUUACUCAUGGCUUCAAACUGCUGAACGACGCGCUAGAUCUCAAAACGACCGAUUGGGUCGUUACAUUCUCUCCCACUUAAACCUAUGUUCGUCCUCGAACGUGCUAAGAACUGCGCUGGAGUUGCCCGAAAUCACUGUUUAACACCUCGAUCACCUACCCGUGCUACCACAACUCAGCUGAGCACCCUAGCUCGAUCAAUCUGAAGAUACCCUUUUUCACUUAGGCAAAUAAGCCUUAGAGCCCAAUUCCAACAUCCGGAAUUGUCUGCAAGGCUUGUUUGAACAUACGCUCACCGAAUCAAUAACUACACGCGACACCAAAACAUGAUUGCAUACCUUAGCUGAAUUCACACUUUGCACCACUUUACUCACAGGACCACAAUAACAUUCUCUGAUCAAUUUAGUCGAAAUUUCAUGACUCUAAUGCUCUCUUUCACCUCAUGACAUACAUAGGUCUUGCUUUAACUCUUACAAUACCACCACGAUGGAAGAGAUGUGUAGAAAUUAAUAACUAACUACUGAAUCAAUAAAUCAUUGGGUCUAUACUCUUGACAAGAACCAUCACCUCAUUCUGAACCAAAUAAUGGUCUUAGCUCCUUAAUAUACUUCAUAUUAAUCAGAUUGCACUGAUCCUAAAUCCAAUGAUCUCGUCUCACCCAAUACGAACUGCGCAGGCAAUAAGCCAUCCCGGACAUGAUCAAAAGUCUCAUAUGAUGCCACAAUGUGCCAAUAGGCUACCAAUUCGAACGUGAUACAAAGGAAAACGAACUCUGAAAAGGAAAUCCAAUUCCCCGCUCGCGAAUCAUACAUGCGAUGCGGUCAACAUAAUUAAACAAACACCCUGAUCGUGAAUCAUACAUGUGACGUGGGCACACAACUAAUAUGAGUUUUCCUCAUAAAGAUAGGAAAUGAAACACCUAAAAACAGACAUCGGAAUCUGUACUCAACAUCACACUGUUGUGGCGCGCAACCCGAUCCAAACAACAUACUCAUGGCGGCGUGCCACCCGAUCCACCCAUAAAAUUCACAUAAGGAGAUACACACCGAGCUAGAUUGUUCAUUACAACAAAAUACCGAAUGUCGAUCACAAGCACGCUAAGUGCAUAACACCAUCCCUGGGGAGAAGUAUAGCGCUAUAAGCUACAAACUCAACAACAAUUGAGGUGCAAUAUACGAUCUGAAUCUCAAGAGUCAUUCUACUCAUAUAACAUCAUCUCUACAUGGAACCUCAACAGAUAAGUAAUUCACCAAGCCGUCUCACAACUCACACGACGCGAUAUAUCAUUACAUGAAAUAACUGACGACGAAAUAACACCCCGAGUACUCUUCCAUAAGGAGCACAUUGCUGAAAUGAACACACCUGGCCUAAUAUAGAGCCCAUGUUCACAUCUAAAUCCAUCCACAGACCUCAAGCUGAUUCUGAUCACACUGAACUAGGCUAAUAACCUUUCAAAGAUACAUAAUCCCCCCCCCCUUUUCUCAUAACACACAAGAACAACCAUCUUAACCGGAAUAAUCCUCCACAGUCCACAACCCAUUAAACUGAGUGCCCUCCAGGCAUUGAUUCUCAAUUUAACGACAUUACUACAAUCUUCAUACUUGGUUUAACUCUUCAAUCAAUUAAGUGACUACAUGCCACACUUAUGCAACCUUUCCGUGGGGCACGCUCCCACAAUCUUCCGUAACAGAUAAUAGGCUUAUGCAUCCAAACCACCGGCCGCACUAACACUAAAGAGCGAUCAAGAAUCCUUAACCAGGAUGCAAAGCCUCUUUCACAAAACGCCGAUCUCAGGUGAUGAUGAAGACAUUACCAUCUUACUUUAAACAUCCCAACUCAUUUCCUGCUCAUCCGAGCUCGUGACAUCAUUGUCAACACCAAACUGCAACUUUGAUCCUCACUUCAAAUUCCAUACCACUCACUGCACCUAGCAAGACAAUAUACGAUAGAACACGAUUUUUAUCAUAACUCCGGAACCACUAAUAGAUUAACACUUCAUCAUAUAAAAACAUUUCACUUAUCUCACUUCAAGAGAACCAUAGCAACACACAUGUGAAUUCUCAUAACCGCAGAAUAUGCAAAUUUCUAAGUAGUGGACUAAGCCACCAUAGCCCUUCUAGAAUUCGCCUACACAUAACAAGCCAUAAUAGUAGAAUAUUUCCGAAUAACAUCGAUUACAGCGGCCGAUAAGCCUCACACGUACCAUCACAAAUCACUUGCACAACUUGAUCACACUGAAAGAACUUAUCACUACCACCAAUAUGCCAAUUCAACUAUGGCUAACCAAUCUAUCUCUUCGUAACACUUGAACCCACAAAUCGCUACUAACUUUAAACCUCUCCAAAGAUCAUUUUUCUCGAGCCGUCAGCAUUAGAAACACUGAUUCAAUCCAGAACCACCGCACCCCGCGAUAUCUAACAGUCGUUUCUCCAAUAUUAUUUCACAAUAUCUUACCCCAAAGGCGAAUUGCAGAAGACCAUAACACCGGCGAACUUAACACAUUCAAUCGCGGAUGACGACACUACAUCGCAUAUAAAAAUCCCAUCACUCUUGAAAUCACCAAGUCUUGUUACUCCAUUACUCCAAAUCCGGACAUCCUAGGCCAAUUGCUUUUCCUCUGCCGAAAAUGAAAUAUCAGAUCUCUGAAUCGUGCACUGAGUAUGCUUCCUUUCAAAUCAUUCACUGCCCCAACACAUAGGCAAGUAUCUUGCUAUCAAGUCAUUACUGUGCGAUAACCAAUCGUGAGCAUCAUAGCAACCUGUGCAUAGUCUCUAAGCUCUUAGAAGCACAACUACCGAGUUGAAACGAUAGAAAAAUCCUUCCGCAAGGCGACAACAAUAGCCCAAUCAACUAUACCGAGAGAAACAUCCUGCACCACGUCUGUAGUACCAUUACAAUUCCUCAAUUCUUGAUUUAUAACAAGUGAUUCGCGUCGCAUAAGGUUAAGUAGGAAGGAAACAAGGGCAUAAGCCCCAAGGAAUCAUAUUGCACGAUGAGGAAUCAAGAAUGGAAGUGCUCCUAACAGCCUUGUAGCCUCUCGAAGAUAAGUACAGACGUCUCUGUACUGAUCCGCAAGACUCUACUAGACUCGCUCAUGACUCAUAAGACUUAAGGGAACCUAGUGCUCUGAUACCAUGUUGUCAAGACCCAAAUUCUACUAAGGGUCAUGAUGGCGCCGGACACCACUAUCAGGCAAGCCAACCAAAAUACUUAAUUUAAUUCUCGUUUUAAUAAUUUUGGAAACUAUGAUUUUUCUUCAAUUUCACUAGUAAAAGAAAAUUAUUUCAAAUCGAAUAUGAAUUUUAAGAAGUUAAUACAAGAUACCCCACAAUCAUCCCAGAACCCGGUGACACAAAUACAUGAGAAAUUUCUAGAAAAUAAAAUAAAAUACAAUAACUGUCCGGAAUACAAGGUGGACAGGAAUUAAAAAAAGCACCGUAAAAUACUCUGAAGGGGACUCUGCUAGCUACAUGUCGUCUCGAUAAAUGCAGCUCACCUAAGUCUUCGUAUCAACCAUAUCGCUAUGCCACUAAGCCACUAACCACAUAUCAACAUGUGCAACAAAAAUGCACAACAAGUGUAGUAUGAGUAUGAAAACAACGUGUAUCCAAUGAGUAUCUCGUCUAAUCUCGAAGAAGUAGAGACGAGAGGUCGACUUCGACACUUACUAGUGGUUCAAUGAUAAUAUAGCAAAACUGUGAGGAAUUCAUGGAUUUCAUAAAGUAAAAUUAAACUCAUAAAGCCGAAAAGCAGGUAACAACUUCUCAAAUCAUAAAGGAUUUCCCAAGAUUUACUUUUCAUUUUCUUUAUCAAUUUAUCUCUGGCUAGGAAAAGCAAUUAUCAACAUUUAAAAUUCUCAGGCAAGCAAUACAAGCAUGCGCAUAUCAUGUCGAGGUCGUAUGGCCCAAUCCAACAUAAAAACGUGCAUUGCCGAGGGUCGAACGACGCGAACCAUAGAUGCAUCUAUUACCCCGCUUGCGAAUCAUACAUGUGACGCGGUCAACAUAAAUAAACAAACAACGUGCUCGCGAAUCAUACAUGUGACACAGGUAUACAUAAAAAUACAUGCUCAAACAGCAAAUUAAGAAUUUAUCGGGGAACGUUUAUCCAGAUAAAAGCCAAUUUUCUUUUAGCAAUUUAAGAAAAUGAAAUUUAAUCCUUUUAGAAAUUCAUUUACCAAUUCGAUAGGAUUUAAGCAAUUCAACUGCCAAUAAGAUUACAGAUAUUCCAAGUAUAGCAUGUUUUUGGGUCCUAAACUACCCGGACUUACACAUAAUAGUAGCUACACACGGACUCUCGUCACCUCGUGCGUACGUAGCCCCUACAAAUAGGAGCAUAUAGCCAAUUAUAUCACCUAUGGGGACAAUUCCCUCUUUCAAUGUUAGAAAGGAGACUCACCUCGCUCUGAAGAUCCAUAACCGACAUUCCACGCUCUUCCGAAGACUCGAAUCGAUUCACCAUGCUCCAAAACUAGCCAAUAAGUAUGCAAACCCAUUAAUUUAUGCUUAAUUACUCAUUAUAAUUCAAUUUAUAACAAUUCCUAACCUCAAUCGAAAAGUUGACAAAAUUGCCCUCGGGCCCACGUGCCCGGAUUCCAAAAAUUUUCGAAGAUAAAGUUUACCUAUGAACUCACAAACUCAAAUAUAUGAUUUUCUCUUAGUUCCAGGCCCAAAAUAGUGGUAAAAAUCCAAAUUAUAAAUUUCUAGGUCUCCUACCAAAAACCCACAAUUUCUACCAAAUUUUCAUACUCAAAUCCAUAUAUAAUUCAAGUAUUAACUCAAAACUAGUAGAAUCCACUUACCUCAUGCGUGAUUGUGAAAAUGGCACCUCAAAGUUGCUCCAAAAAUCGGCUCCAAUGGAAGAAAUGGGGUUGAAAUGAACCCAACCCCCGAUUUAAAAGAACCUACUGCCUCCAGCAUUUUCGCAUCUGCGGUGCACCAGCUGCACCUGCGGAAUUUUUAUCGCGGGUGCGGUUUCAGCCAACUCGCUCAAGUCCGCUUCUAUAGAGCCAGAGCCGCUUCUGCGGUCUCGUUUCUGUGGAAGAUUUGUCGCACCUGCGACCCCAGCCAAGCCCAGCCAUUUUCCUCUUUUGCGACACAAGGGCCGCUUCUGCGGCUCCGCACCUGCGGCCCAAGUCUAGCAGGUGCGGUUACACCAGCAACUUCAGCUCUUCCUCCAAGUUCCAAUUCGAUCCGUUAACCAUCCGGAAUCCACCCGAGGCCCCAAGGACCCGGUCCAAUCACACUAACCAAUCCCAAAACACGUUACGGACUUGCUUGAGGCCUCAAAUCAUAUCGAACAACGCUAAAAUCAUGAAUCGACCUCCAAUCCAAGCUUAAUGAACUUAAGAAUUUCAAACUUCUUCAUUCGAUGCCAAAACAUAUCCAAUCACGUCAGAUUGAACUCAAAUUUUGCGCACAAGUCACAUUUGACAUUUCGGACAUACUCCAACUUUCGAAAUCGGAUUCCGACCCCGAUAUCAAAAAGUCCACUUCCGGUCAAACUUCUCAAAAACCUUCNNNNNNNNNNNNNNNNNNNNNNNNNAGAAUCACCAUACGGAGUUAUUCCUAGACUCGGAAUCUAAAACAGACAUUGAUAACCCCGAAAUGCACUUCAAUCCAAACUUAUGAGAUUCUUCCAAAAAUGCUAACUUCCAAAAUAGGCGUCGAAACGUUCCCGAGUCUUCCAAAACCCAGUCCAGACAUACGCCCAAGUCCGAAAUAACCAUACGAACCUGCUGGAACCUUCGAAUCCUGAUUCCGAGGUCGUUUACUCAAAAAUCCAACCUUAGUCAAUUCUUUCAACUUAAAGCUUCCGAAAUGAGAAUUCUCUUUCCAAAUCAACCCCGCACUUCCUGGAAUUCAAUUCCCACCGUGCGCACAAGUCAUAAUACCCGAAGUGAAGUUGCUCAUGGCUCAAACUGAUAAACGAUGCACUAGAGCUCAAAAUGACCAGUCGAGUCGUUACAUUUGACAUGGUAUAUCUACCCACACAAUCAGGUCGGAAAAUUAAUUCUUUCGAAACCCAUUAUUAUGUACUCCCCUUUCGAAACCCCUUAUCUCCCUUAUUCUUGAAAGGAUAUUUCUGAAUUAGCCGACUCAUACUGCAGCUACUAAAAAUGGCUAAGACCUUACCACUGUAUAGGCUAAUAUCAAAUCUUAGUUCAAUACAAUAAAACAUAAGUGGAGUUCUGCAAUUCAGUUGAGUCUUUCAUCUUAUUCGUAGGUUUGGUACUUCAGUUUAUGAUGCAUUUUUGGGGAAUUUCUUCAAACAGGUAGUGUACAUCGUUCCUUUUGUUCAGAUUGAUGAGUAGACUGAUUCACCAUCCUUACUUCAUCUAAACAUCUUAUCAACUUAUAUGAAGUAAAUGCAAAUAAGAAGAAAACAUAUUUUGAGAGGUAAGAAGAUAACAUAUUUUGAGAGGUAAGAAGAAGUAACAGAAUCAAACUCCAAAGGGGUAGUAAAUGGGCAAAUAGAUUUUCAACCACACCUAGAAACUUCAGAAAGACGAAGAAAGCUUGGGCGGAAACUCCAAACCAUGGGAAGAAGUCCACCAUUAUUUCUGGUGAAGAGAAAUUGAUACCAGAGUAAACAAAACUAAAAGUCAGAUCGAUGAGCAUCAUACAUACAAAUCAAGAAAAAUAGAAAAAAUAUGUCCAAAAAUUGAAAGAAUAGCUAACCAGAAACUUUUUAAACCAAGCCGAGAAGAGCUCUUAGAAUUGGAAGAUGAAGAUCGUUUUGAAAGAAAGAAAAAAUGGAGAAGUUUAUGCAAAUACAAUAUGUUGUCUUUAUGAAUAAAAGUCACGUAUCUCUUUUUUUAAAAU